rnacentral:rRNA from 1 species
UACAGAGACUGCAAGCGUUGAUUCGGGAUUCACUGGGCGUAAAGGGUGCGCAGGCGGCCGUGUGUGUCGAGGCGUGAAAGCCCGAUGCUUAACAUCGGAAUUGCACCUCAAACUACAUGGCUAGAGCGAAUUGGAGAGGGUAGCGGAAUUCACGGUGUAGCAGUGAAAUGCGUAGAUAUCGUGAGGAACACCAGAGGCGAAGGCGGCUACCUGGACAAUUGGCUGACGCUCGAGGCACGAAAGCGUGGGGAGCAAAAGGG